rnacentral:ncRNA from 6 species
UAGCUUAUCAGACUGAUGUUGACUG